rnacentral:rRNA from 1 species
UACGUAGGUGGCAAGCGUUGUCCGGAAUUAUUGGGCGUAAAGCGCGCGCAGGCGGUCCUUUAAGUCUGAUGUGAAAGCCCGGGGCUCACCCCCGGAAGGGCAUUGGAAACUGGCGGACUCGAGUCCCGGAGAGGAGGGUGGAAUUCCUGGUGUAGCGGUGAAAUGCGUAGAUAUCAGGAGGAACACCGGUUGCGAAGGCCGCCCUCUGGACGGUGACUGACGCUGAGACGCGAAAGCGUGGGGAGCAAACGGG